AUAAAACCGUAAUCUGUUAGUUUGACUCACUCAAAACAAGCUGAAUCCAUUUUCACGAAACAGCGCAUGUGUGCUGCCGUUGGUCCAAUCUUAAAUUACUGUACAGUAUAGGCUACAUGUCGUGCAGAGAAAAAGGGUUAUAAUGGAGGGGACUACAAUUCCCAUCAGGCAACAGGAAUGCAAAGGGGAUGAUGGGAGGAUACCUUAAUGCGCGCGGAAAGUUUUUGUGGCGGUCAAAGCUGGAACUCACGAAGGACAAGUGACGAUCCGUUCUUUUAUGCCAAAAGAUACAUGUGGGAUUCCGGACCUUGUGAAGAUAUGCACAGAUAAUUGGUAAACUAAACUGGUGAUGGACAGCUCUGCCUAAAAACCUUAAUCAAGAGAUUUUGGUGCCCCCCUGAAGAUAAGCUACUACUAAAACUGAACCAAGCAUCCAGACGUGAUCUUCUCUGAAGACAAUUUGACAUCCUGCGAGACAAGGCAGUUAGACAACAUUUAAAACAAGUUCCCGGAUAUCUAACCUA